AUCGAACGCUGGCGGCAGGCCUAACACAUGCAAGUCGAACGAGUGGCGGACGGGUGAGUAAUGUCUGGGAAACUGCCUGAUGGAGGGGGAUAACUACUGGAAACGGUAGCUAAUACCGCAAACUAUCUGAUGUGCCCAGAUGGGAUGAGUUAGUAGGUGGGGGAAAGGCUCACCUAGGCGACGAUCCCUAGCUGGUCUGAGAGGAUGACCAGCCAAACGGGAACUGAGACACGGUCCAGACUCCGAGGUGAGGCAGCAGUGGGGAAUAUUGCACAAUGGGCGCAGGCCUGAUGCAGCCAUGCCGCGUGUAUGAAGAGGGCCGUCGGGUUGUAAAGUACUUUCAUCGGGGAGGCGUUACCCGCAGAAGAAGCACCGGCUAACUCCGUGCCAGCAGCCGCGGUAAUUC
rnacentral:rRNA from 1 species